rnacentral:lncRNA from 1 species
GAUCCGACAGUUCAGGGACUUGAUUUGGCUUGUUUAGGAGACCUAAACCUAAUCUAAUUAGGUUAAACCCUUGUUUAAGGCCUUUAAAUGGCCUGUGCCUCAACAGAGAGCUGCGGUGAUUGGUUUUUUGCAGAGGAAGCCACGCGAAACCUGAGAAGAGAAAGAGAGAGAGGUGUGAGGCCACUGUGAGAGAAGGAGCAGGGCUCCUGGACAGCGGACGUCGG